AUUACCGCGGCUGCUGGAUCUACCUUUUCGUGAUUGAUAACGUAGGGAAACUUACGCUAAUACCGCAACGACCUUAGGGUGAAAGCGGAGAACCUUCGGGCUUCGCGCAAUUAGAUGACGCCGAUGUCGGAUUAGCUAGUUGGCGGGGUAAAGGCCCACCAAGGCAACGAUCCGUAGCUGGUCUGAGAGGAUGAUCACUGCUGCCUCCCGUAGGAGU
rnacentral:rRNA from 1 species